UCCAGGGUAGCAUAGUGGACAUGGCACCUGCCCGGUAAGCAGAAGGUUGUGGCUUCGAUUCCCGCCCCUGGAC
rnacentral:tRNA from 1 species